rnacentral:rRNA from 1 species
AUUGAACGCUGGCGGCAGGCCUAACACAUGCAAGUCGAACGGUAACAGGAAGAAGCUUGCUUCUUUGCUGACGAGUGGCGGACGGGUGAGUAAUGUCUGGGAAACUGCCUGAUGGAGGGGGAUAACUACUGGAAACGGUAGCUAAUACCGCAUAACGUCGCAAGACCAAAGAGGGGGACCUUCGGGCCUCUUGCCAUCGGAUGUGCCCAGACGGGAUUAGCUAGUAGGUGGGGUAACGGCUCACCUAGGCGACGAUCCCUAGCUGGUCUGAGAGGAUGACCAGCCACACUGGAACUGAGACACGGUCCAGACUCCUACGGGAGGCAGCAGUGGGGAAUAUUGCACAAAGGGCGCAAGCCUGAUGCAGCCAUGCCGCGUGUAUGAAGAAGGCCUUCGGGUUGUAAAGUACUUUCAGCGGGGAGGAAGGGAGUAAAGUUAAUACCUUUGCUCAUUGACGUUACCCGCAGAAGAAGCACCGGCUAACUCCGUG